rnacentral:tRNA from 1 species
UUAAUUGAAACCAAAAACAGAGGUAUAUCAUUGUUAAUGAUAAUAUUGAAUUAACACUCCAAUUAAG